rnacentral:rRNA from 1 species
UAGGGAAUCUUCGGCAAUGGGGGCGAACCCUGACCGAGCAACGCCGCGUGAGUGAAGAAGGUUUUCGGAUCGUAAAGCUCUGUUGUAAGAGAAGAACGUGUGUGAGAGUGGAAAGUUCACACAGUGACGGUAACUUACCAGAAAGGGACGGCUAACUACGUGCCAA